GCAUAUCAAUAAGCGGAGGAAAAGAAACCAACAGGGAUUGCCCUAGUAACGGCGAGUGAAGCGGCAACAGCUCAAAUUUGAAAUCUGGCCCUCGGGUCCGAGUUGUAAUUUGUAGAGGAUGCUUUUGGUGCGGUACCUUCCGAGUUCCCUGGAACGGGACGCCAUAGAGGGUGAGAGCCCCGUCUGGUUGGAUACCAAUCCUCUGUAAAGCUCCUUCAACGAGUCGAGUAGUUUGGGAAUGCUGCUCUAAAUGGGAGGUAUAUGUCUUCUAAAGCUAAAUAUUGGCCAGAGACCGAUAGCGCACAAGUAGAGUGAUCGAAAGAUGAAAAGCACUUUGAAAAGAGAGUUAAAAAGUACGUGAAAUUGUUGAAAGGGAAGCGCUUAUGACCAGACUUGGACUUGGUUGAUCAUCCUGGGUUCUCCCUGGUGCACUCUUCCAGUUCAGGCCAGCAUCAGUUCAUCGCGGGGGAUAAAGGCUUCGGGAAUGUGGCUCCCUCGGGAGUGUUAUAGCCCGUUGUGUAAUACCCUGCUUUGGACUGAGGUUCGCGCAUCUGCAAGGAUGCUGGCGUAAUGGUCAUCAGCGACCCGUCUUGAAACACGGACCAAGGAGUCGUCUUCGUAUGCGAGUGUUCGGGUGUUAAACCCCUACGCGUAAUGAAAGUGAACGCAGGUGAGAGCUUCGGCGCAUCAUCGACCGAUCCUGAUGUUCUCGGAUGGAUUUGAGUAAGAGCAUACGGGGCCGGACCCGAAAGAAGGUGAACUAUGCCUGUAUAGGGUGAAGCCAGAGGAAACUCUGGUGGAGGCUCGCAGCGGUUCUGACGUGCAAAUCGAUCGUCAAAUAUGGGCAUGGGGGCGAAAGACUAAUCGAACCUUCUAGUAGCUGGUUUCCGCCGAAGU
rnacentral:rRNA from 1 species